rnacentral:rRNA from 1 species
AUUGAACGCUGGCGGCAGGCCUAACACAUGCAAGUCGAGCGCGCGGCGGACGGGUGAGUAAUGUAUGAGGAUCUGCCCGAUCGAGGGGGAUAACUACUGGAAACGGUGGCUAAUACCGCAUACUAACGGAUGAACCCAUAUGGGAUUAGCUAGUAGGUGGGGUAAUGGCUCACCUAGGCGACGAUCCCUCGCUGGUCUCAGAGGAGGACCAGCCACACGGGAACUGAGACACGGUCCAGACUCCUACGGGAGGCGGCAGUGGGGAAUAGUGCACAAUGGGCGCAAGCCUGAUGCAGCCAUGCCGCGUGUGUGAAGAAGGCCUUCGGGUUGUAAAGUACUUUCAGCGAGGAGGCGUUACUCGCAGAAGAAGCACCGGCUAACUCCGUGCCAGCAGCCGCGGUAAUUC